UACGUAGGGGGCAAGCGUUGUCCGGAUUUAUUGGGCGUAAAGAGCGUGUAGGCGGCCAGGUAGGUCUGCUGUGAAAACUCGAGGCUUAACCUCGAGCUGUCGGCGGAAACCAUCUGGCUAGAGUCCGGAAGAGGAGAAUGGAAUUCCCGGUGUGAGCGGUGAAAUGCGCAGAUAUCGGGAAGAACACCCGUGGCGAAGGCGGUUCUCUGGGACGGUACUGACGCUGAGACGCGAAAGCGUGGGGAGCGAACAGG
rnacentral:rRNA from 1 species